rnacentral:rRNA from 1 species
AGCGAACGUUUGCGGCGGGCUUAACACAUGCAAGUCGAACGAGAAUCCCUUCGGGGAGGAAAGUGGCGCACGGGUGCGUAACACGUGGAUAACCAACCCAUUGGUUUGGGACAACACCGGGAAACUGGUGCUAAUACCAGAUGUGUCGCAGCUGUCUUCAGGCGGUUGCGAGAAAGGCCCGCAAGGGUCGCCAACGGACGGGUCCGCGUCCCAUCAGCUAGUUGGUGAGGUAAUGGCUCACCAAGGCAAAGACGGGUAGCUGGUCUGAGAGGAUGAUCAGCCACACUGGAACUGAGACACGGUCCAGACUCCUACGGGAGGCAGCAGUGGGGAAUAUUGCGCAAUGGGCGAAAGCCUGACGCAGCCACGCCGCGUGAGCGAUGAAGGUCUUCGGAUCGUAAAGCUCUGUGGGGGAGAAGAAGAAAGCCGGUGAAGAGCCGGCCUGACGGUAUCCCCUUAGCAAGCACCGGCUAACUCCGUGCCAGCAGCCGCGGU